GACUGAAGCACCAAUUUCCUUUCGAUCACUGAGGUUAAGCAACGUCGAGCCUGGUUAGUAUUUAGAUGAUUGACCGCUUGGGAAUACCAGGUGUUGUAAG